rnacentral:rRNA from 1 species
ACCGCCCGCUUUCUUCCUUCCUAACACAUGCAAGUCGAACGAGACCUUCGGGUCUAGUGGCGCACGGGUGCGUAACGCGUGGGAACCUGCCCUUAGGUUCGGAAUAACUCCCCGAAAGGGGUGCUAAUACCGGAUAAUGUCUUCGGACCAAAGAUUUAUCGCCUUUGGAUGGGCCCGCGUUGGAUUAGCUAGUUGGUAGGGUAAAAGCCUACCAAGGCGACGAUCCAUAGCUGGUCUGAGAGGAUGAUCAGCCACACUGGGACUGAGACACGGCCCAGACUCCUACGGGAGGCAGCAGUGGGGAAUAUUGGACAAUGGGCGAAAGCCUGAUCCAGCAAUGCCGCGUGAGUGAUGAAGGCCUUAGGGUUGUAAAGCUCUUUUACCCGGGAUGAUAAUGACAGUACCGGGAGAAUAAGCUCCGGCUAACUCCGUG